AGCUCCAUUAGCGUAUAUUAAAGUUGUUGCAGUUAAAAAGCUCGUAGUUGGAUUUCGGUGUGGGCCAGUGGGUCGGCCGCGAGGCCUGUUACUGACUGGUCCGCUCUUCCUCUCAAAGACUGCGCGUGCCCUUCGCUGGGUGUGCGUAUUUGGAUUUGGGACGUUUACUUUGAAAAAAUUAGAGUGUUCCAAGCAGGCGCGUUCCGCCCGAAUAAUGGUGCAUGGAAUAAUAGAAUAGGACCUCGGUUCUAUUUUGUUGGUUUUCGGAACUAGAGGUAAUGAUUAAGAGGGACAGACGGGGGCAUUCGUAUUGCGGUGUUAGAGGUGAAAUUCUUGGAUCGCCGCAAGACGAACUACUGCGAAAGCAUUUGCCAAGAAUGUUUUCAUUAAUCAAGAACGA
rnacentral:rRNA from 1 species